GGAUCCUCCUGCCUCAGCCUCCCAAAUAGCUGAGACUACAGUGGCAUUUGUGAAGACUGGAUUGAACAAACCACUUUGGAAGCUACUAUAACAGCUGGAGGAGGGAUGAUGACAGGACUUUCAUCAUAUAACUUUAUUGGUGACUUCAGACAGGAAAAUGCUGCACUGUAUUUCAAAACCCAUGUUUAAAAGAUGGGGUAUUUCAAAGGAUCGGAGGAACCUGCCCAGGCUGCUGAGCACAUGAAAAAGGUUGUGUGUGCGCUAUGGAAGGUGCUUCAGGGACUAAAAAUAUAAAAUGCAACAUUUGCCUUUGAGGAGCUAAUAUUUUAGCCGGUGCGGGUAAAAUAAUGCAACCUAAUGUCUAUAACAGAAAACUAGUAAGUGCCAAGAGAGGUACGAAUAGAGUAAGGGAUGCAGGUGUACAUGUGGGGUAAUUAAAAAAAACUG